UACGAAGGGGGCUAGCGUUGCUCGGAAUCACUGGCGUAAAGCGCACGUAGGCGGAUUGCUAAGUCAGGGGUGAAAUCCUGGAGCUCAACUCCCAGAACUGCCUUUGAUACUGGUCGAUCUUGAGUCCGGGAGAGGUGAUGUGGAACUGCGAGUGUAGAGGUGAAAUUCGUAGAUAUUCGCAAGAACACCAGUGGCGAAGGCGGCUCACUGGCCCGGUACUGACGCUGAGGUGCGAAAGCGUGGGGAGCAAACAGGAUUAGAACCAUCC
rnacentral:rRNA from 1 species